rnacentral:rRNA from 1 species
CCCCUCGAUGUUCUGGGCCGCACGCGCGCUACACUGAACAGUUCAACAAGUCUUAACCUUGGCCGAUAGGUCUGGGUAAUCUUUGAACGCUGUUCGUGAUUGGGAUAGACCUUUGCAAUUAUGGGUCUUCAACGAGGAAUUCCUAGUAAACGCAAGUCAUCAGCUUGCAUUGAUUACGUCCCUGCCCUUUGUACACACCGCCCGUCGCACCUACCGAUUGAAUGGUCCGGUGAAAUCUCGGGACGGCGGCUUGGUCGCUUGCGUCCGACUGCUGAAACUUGAUUAAACCAUAUCAUUUAGAGGAAGGUGAAGUCGUAACA